rnacentral:rRNA from 1 species
GUGGGGAAUUUUGGACAAUGGGCGCAAGCCUGAUCCAGCCAUUCCGCGUGCAGGAUGAAGGCCUUCGGGUUGUAAACUGCUUUUGUACGGAACGAAAAGGUUCUCUCUAAUACAGGGGGCUGAUGACGGUACCGUAAGAAUAAGCACCGGCUAACUACGUGCCAGCAGCCGCGGUAAUACGUAGGGUGCAAGCGUUAAUCGGAAUUACUGGGCGUAAAGCGUGCGCAGGCGGUGAUGUAAGACAGAUGUGAAAUCCCCGGGCUCAACCUGGGAACUGCAUUUGAGACUGCAGUGCUGGAGUGCAGCAGAGGGGGAUGGAAUUCCGCGUGUAGCAGUGAAAUGCGUAGAUAUGCGGAGGAACACCGAUGGCGAAGGCAAUCCCCUGGGCCUGCACUGACGCUCAUGCACGAAAGCGUGGGGAGCAAACAGGAUUAGAUACCCGUGUAGUCC